UUAAUUUUUCACACUGACAACCAAAAACUUAAAAAGGAAGUUAAUUGUUGUCAAAUACCGAAAAAAAGAUUUUUCAUUAAAAUUCUCCUAAACCAAAUUUCUUGUUUGUCUAACAUAUUUUUUUUAACUCUGUUCCCUUAACAAUCAUUUUUUUAAUUGACGGAGGACUAAAAAUAAAUUUUAGCGUUAAUUUGAUUUUGCGGAUGUUGGAAAUACUUAACUUUGGCAAUUUUUGGCAAAAUCGCCCUAAUUUCUACUCUUAGGGUAGCAAUAAGAAUCUAGAAAUCAAUUCUUGUGCAUUCAAAGUUUCUAACUGAGCUGGGGAUAGCCUGAUUUUGAAGUUUCUUCUCCACAGCAUUUGUCAGGACAGUGUCGUUACAAAAAACAUGAACCAUGCAUAAACUAACACGACUGGCUAUGAAUGUUUUCUCCGCUGACAACGACAACAACAACAACAACAAGACUUGCUCUUUAUGUUUACUGUAAUGUAACUCUUUUUAGGUUUCUUUCACGAGCAAAGUCGUCCUGACCGAGAUAACUACGUGAAAAUUUUGUUACAUAACAUAGAUAGUCGGUUUGCAUACAAUUUCAAAAAACAGAACUAUUCAGACAUCGACUCGAAAGGAACGCCUUACGACUACCGCUCAAUGAUGCACUACAGAUACAACGCUUUUGGGAAAGAUUUGAAGAUGACAAUUAAAACAUUGGAUCCAUCGAAGCAAUACGAAAUUGGACAAGAUAGCGGAUUUUCUCACAUUGAUAUUAAACAAAUCAACCGAUUGUACAGCUGUAGUAAGUUAAUGCGCACAGCACGAAUAAUUUUUAUCUCGAGAUCCUUUUUUCUGUUUAGGAGCUUUAAACUGCAAUUUAAGGUUCCCAUUUUUAUUUUUAACAAAAUUGACCCACCCCUCGUCAACAUUUAACAGACGCAUCCACAAUUUAACGUAUUUGUCAAACUCUUGACAUGCUCGUCCAACUCUUAACACAACCGUCUAACUCUCCACAUUUGCGCAUCCAUCUUUUAAUCUAUUUCACCAAACUUUGUCACACUCGCCCAACUCUGGAAACACUCGUCUAACUCUUAAAAUGUAUGCACAUAGAAGACAGGAGUGAGUCAAUGUUCUUUAUAUAUUUAGAAGGUACAUAUCCAACGCUUCCGCCCUACAUUUCACCGCCUCCAGGUAAGACGUCAGAUUCACUUUAAAUGUUAAGCAGCUUAGACGGUCAACAAAUUUCCUGAGAAGUUACUUGAAAUUGACCAUUCCUCAACAAACGUUAUGGCUUAAUCUGUCUUUCCAGUUUACGUUAGUACAGUAAGUUCAACAUUGUAUAGGUUGUGUUGAAACUGGGCCAUCCUGUCAUAAAGAUAAACAUGAAGGAUUGUGUACAAAAAAAUACUUUGUCAGCUACAUGCGCAAGAAAUGUCCAAGAGUGUGUGGGUAUUGUGGCGUAACAAAAGCAACAACGACUGCAGCUGUCAAGACCUCAACCACUUCCACCACCCCCACAGCACACAUCGUCAUUACAAAAUCAACAUCAACUGUAACUACCAGGAGAGGUAACUGUCUGUCGCCUAAACUAGUAGCCUAAACUGUUCGUGUAAAAAAUGCACGAAAUGUACUUUCCAAAUUUUGAUAAAAGACAAAUUAGUUUUAACUUGUUUAUACUAUUUUUCAUUUUGAGCAAAAAUUUAUUUAAUGUCAACACCUCUAGGUUGUUAUUCAGGAAUGAUACUAAAUCGUUCUCUUGUAAAAAUAUUUUUAGGGAGCACAGGAGGAGCGUCAUGUGCUGAUGUCAUUGUUAACUGUAAACAAUUGGGUCUCCAUCAUUGUGCCGAAAAACAUUGGAUAGAGUUUAUGAAAAAAAGAUGCAAGAAGUCGUGUAGUUUUUGUUAAGUUAUAAACGAAAGAAUAUGUAGAACUGAAAAAUGUGUGAUCAUGCUUUAUACAAAGGAAA